rnacentral:rRNA from 1 species
UGGGGAAUCUUCCGCAAUGGACGAAAGUCUGACGGAGCAACGCCGCGUGAGUGAUGACGGUCUUCGGAUUGUAAAGCUCUGUUAAUCGGGACGAAUGGUUUGUGUGCAAAUAGUGCAUAGACAUGACGGUACCGGAAUAGAAAGCCACGGCCAACUACGUGCCAGCAGCCGCGGUAAUACGUAGGUGGCAAGCGUUGUCCGGAAUUAUUGGGCGUAAAGCGCGCGCAGGCGGACUAGCCAGUCAGUCUUAAAAGUUCGGGGCUUAACCCCGUGAUUGGAUUGAAACUACUAGUCUAGAGUAUCGGAGAGGAAAGUGGAAUUCCUAGUGUAGCGGUGAAAUGCGUAGAUAUUAGGAAGAACACCAGUGGCGAAGGCGACUUUCUGGACGAACACUAUCGCUGAGGCGCGAAAGCCAGGGGAGCGAACGGG